AUUGAACGCUGGCGGCAGGCCUAACACAUGCAAGUCGAACGAGUGGCGGACGGGUGAGUAAUGUCUGGGAAACUGCCCGAUGGAGGGGGAUAACUACUGGAAACGGUAGCUAAUACCGCAUACCAUCGGAUGUGCCCAGAGGGGAUUAGCUAGUAGUUGGGGUAACGGCUCAACUAGGCGACGAUCCCUAGCUGGUCUGAGAGGAUGACCAGCCAGCCUGGGACGGAGACACGGUACAGACUCCUACGGGAGGCACCAGUGGGGAAUAUUGCACAAUGGGCGCAAGCCUGAUGCAGCCAUGCCGCGUGUAUGAAGAAGGCCUUCUGGUUGUAAAGUACUUUCAGCGGGGAGGCGUUACUCGCAGAAGAAGCACCGGCUAACUCCGUGCCAGCAGCCGCGGUAAUUC
rnacentral:rRNA from 1 species